ACCCCAGUGGCCUAAUGGAUAAGGCACUGGCCUUCUAAGCCAGGGCCAGGGAUUGUGGGUUCGAGUCCCAUCUGGGGUG